AGUGAACGCUGGCGGUAGGCCUAACACAUGCAAGUCGAACGGCAGCACAGUAAGAGCUUGCUCUUACGGGUGGCGAGUGGCGGACGGGUGAGGAAUACAUCGGAAUCUACUUUUUCGUGGGGGAUAACGUAGGGAAACUUACGCUAAUACCGCAUACGACCUACGGGUGAAAGCAGGGGAUCUUCGGACCUUGCGCGAUUGAAUGAGCCGAUGUCGGAUUAGCUAGUUGGCGGGGUAAAGGCCCACCAAGGCGACGAUCCGUAGCUGGUCUGAGAGGAUGAUCAGCCACGCUGGAACUGGGACACGGUCCAGACUCCUACGGGAGGCAGCAGUGGGGAAUAUUGGACAAUGGGCGCAAGCCUGAUCCAGCCAUACCGCGUGGGUGAAGAAGGCCUUCGGGUUGUAAAGCCCUUUUGUUGGGAAAGAAAAGCAGCAGGUUAAUACCCCGCUGUUCUGACGGUACCCAAAGAAUAAGCACCGGCUAACUUCGUG
rnacentral:rRNA from 1 species